CCGAGUUUACAACUCCCAAACCCAAUGUGAACGUUACCAAACUGUUGCCUCGGCGGGAUCUCUGCCCCGGGUGCGUCGCAGCCCCGGACCAAGGCGCCCGCCGGAGGACCAACCAAAACUCUUAUUGUAUACCCCCUCGCGGGUUUUUUACUAUCUGAGCCAUCUCGGCGCCCCUCGUGGGCGUUUCGAAAAUGAAUCAAAACUUUCAACAACGGAUCUCUUGGUUCUGGCAUCGAUGAAGAACGCAGCGAAAUGCGAUAAGUAAUGUGAAUUGCAGAAUUCAGUGAAUCAUCGAAUCUUUGAACGCACAUUGCGCCCGCCAGUAUUCUGGCGGGCAUGCCUGUCCGAGCGUCAUUUCAACCCUCGAACCCCUCCGGGGGGUCGGCGUUGGGGAUCGGCCCUUUACGGGGCCGGCCCCGAAAUACAGUGGCGGUCUCGCCGCAGCCUCUCCUGCGCAGUAGUUUGCACACUCGCAUCGGGAGCGCGGCGCGUCCACAGCCGUUAAACACCCCAAACUUCUGAAAUGUUGACCUCGGAUCAGGUAGGAAUACCCGCUGAACUUAAGCAUAUCAUAAGGCGGAGAGAA
rnacentral:rRNA from 1 species